UCAGCUUGUCGGCCUUUUGGCUAAGAUCAAGUGUAGUAUCUGUUCUUAUCAGUUUCAGAUCAGAUAAUUACUACUUGUGACGAAGCGGGGAGCUUGAUGAAAGCGGAGAAGCUGUGUUCCCAUUAGGGAAGAGCUGCCGACCUUUU
ensembl:snRNA U2 U2 spliceosomal RNA